rnacentral:rRNA from 1 species
UACGGAGGGUGCGAGCGUUGUCCGGAAUCACUGGGCGUAAAGGGCGCGUAGGCGGCUUGGUAAGUCCGUGGUGAAAGCCCGAGGCUCAACUUCGGGUCGGCCAUGGAUACUCCUAAGCUCGAGUCGACUAGAGGCUAAUGGAAUUCCGGGUGUAGCGGUGGAAUGCGUAGAGAUCCGGAAGAACACCGGUGGCGAAGGCGGUUAGCUGGGGUCGGACUGACGCUGAGGCGCGACAGCGUGGGGAGCAAACAGG